rnacentral:rRNA from 1 species
GUGCCAGCCGCCGCGGUAAUACGGAGGGUGCAAGCGUUACUCGGAAUCACUGGGCGUAAAGGAUGCGUAGGCUGGAAAUCAAGUCGAAAGUGAAAUCCAACGGCUCAACCGUUGAACUGCUUUCGAAACUGGUUACCUAGAAUAUGGGAGAGGUAGAUGGAAUUAGUGGUGUAGGGGUAAAAUCCGUAGAUAUCACUAGGAAUACCGAUUGCGAAGGCGAUCUACUGGAACAUUAUUGACGCUGAGGCAUGAAAGCGUGGGGAGCAAACAGGAUUAGAAACCCGAGUAGUCC